GGCCUCCUGGAGCUUAACAUGGGCUCUGUUCUUGACACUUACUAUCUAGAAACAGGAGGCACAGUAAAUCCACCGCAUAAACAUGUCCACCUGGCCUGUAUUGUGGGGUUUUUUUGGGGGGUCACAC